rnacentral:rRNA from 1 species
GACGAACGCUGGCGGCGUGCUUAACACAUGCAAGUCGAACGGAAAGGCCCUGCUUGCAGGGUACUCGAGUGGCGAACGGGUGAGUAACACGUGGGUGAUCCGCCCUGCACUUCUUGAUAAGCCUGGGAAACUGGGUCUAAUACCGGAUAGGAGCCAUUUUUAGUGUGAUGGUUGGAAAGUUUUUUGGGUUUAGGGGGAGCGCGCGGCCUAUCCGCUUGCUGGUGGGGUAAUGGCCUACCAAGGCGGGGACGGGUAGGCGGCCUGAGGGGGUGGACGGCCACAUUGGGGAUGGGAUACGGCCCAGACUCCUACGGGGGGCAGCAGUGGGGGAUAUUGCAAAAUGGGCGGAAGCCUGAUGCAGCGACGCCGGGUGGGGGAUGACGGGCUUUGGGUUGUAAACUCCUUUCGCUAGGGACGAAGCUUUUUGUGACGGUACCUAGAUAAGAAGCACCGACUAACUACGUG